rnacentral:rRNA from 1 species
UACGAAGGGGGCUAGCGUUGUUCGGAAUUACUGGGCGUAAAGCGCGCGCAGGCGGUCUUCCAAGUCAGUGGUGAAAGCCCGGAGCUCAACUCCGGAACUGCCAUUGAAACUGUAAGACUUGAGGACGAGAGAGGUGAGUGGAAUUCCCAGUGUAGAGGUGAAAAUUCGUAGAUAUUUGGGAAAGAACACCAGUGGCGAAGGCGGCUCACUGGCUCGUAACUGACGCUCAUGCACGACAGCGUGGGGGAUCAAACAGG